rnacentral:rRNA from 1 species
AGAUUGAACGCUGGCGGCAUGCCUAACACAUGCAAGUCGAACGGGAGUAGCAAUACUCUAGUGGCGGACGGGUGAGGAAUACGUAGGAAUUUGCCCUUAAGUGGGGGAUAACCCGGGGAAACCCGGAUUAAUACCGCAUGACCUCGAAAGAGCAAAGUGGGGGAUCGCAAGACCUCACGCUUUUGGAGAAGCCUACGUCGGAUUAGCUAGUUGGUGAGGUAAUGGCUCACCAAGGCGACGAUCCGUAACUGGUCCGAGAGGAUGAUCAGUCACACCGGAACUGAGACACGGUCCGGACUCCUACGGGAGCAGCAGUGGGGAAUA